GUAGGGUGCAAGCGUUGUCCGGAAUUACUGGGCGUAAAGAGUUCGUAGGCGGUUUGUCGCGUCGUUUGUGAAAACUCACAGCUCAACUGUGAGCCUGCAGGCGAUACGGGCAGACUUGAGUACUGCAGGGGAGACUGGAAUUCCUGGUGUAGCGGUGAAAUGCGCAGAUAUCAGGAGGAACACCGGUGGCGAAGGCGGGUCUCUGGGCAGUAACUGACGCUGAGGAACGAAAGCGUGGGUAGCAAACAGGAUUAGAUACCCUGGUAGUCCACGCCGUAAACGGUGGGCGCUAGGUGUGGGUUCCUUCCACGGGAUCUGUGCCGUAGCUAACGCAUUAAGCGCCCCGCCUGGGGAGUACGGCCGCAAGGCUA
rnacentral:rRNA from 1 species